rnacentral:lncRNA from 1 species
AAUAAUAUUUGGGACGUAAAGAUUAAAUCUAGGCAAGACUAUUUCCUAAAAGAAUUAAAAACUAAAAAUAAUGUUCGUAAAAUUUCCAAACGUUCCUUGCAAGCAAGCUAUUUGCAUGACAAGGUACUGCAAACUCUAUUCAGGAGAGAUAGUAGAGUUUCAAAACUUUACAAUUGGUUGAAAAUUUUUUUGGAGGGGUGGACAUUUUGUUUGGGUGGGGUUAUAGCUAAUAUUGGGGGGGGGGGGGUUAGCACCCCCCACAAAAUCCGUCUGCUCUAGACCGAUCAAUGUGGUUUAUACUUAUUUAACUGUUAGUAUUAAAGAAUAUCAUGAUACUCGGACCAAAAAAAGUUUAUUUAUUGAUGAGAUGUGGAAUUUGGAACGAAAUAGCAAGAUAUUUGCUGUUAUAAAGGCCUUAUCAAAACACUGCAUUGGCCCUUGGCAUUGCUGAAAUUCAACGAUCAUGGCAUAUGUCAAAAUCUAGCUGUCUGUUGAAAAUCUACGGUAUUAAAAUAUACAUCAAAGAUAUUUCAAAUGACAAUAUAUUAUAUGUCUUUCAACGAACACUGC